GCAGCACUGCUGGAUCCUGCGCACACUCAGCCUCCUCCCCGCUCCUCCUGACCAUCCCAGGCGCUCUCUCCUCUGCCAAGGGGUGGUGGUAGGCACAUGGGCUGCAGCUGGUUCUGGAUGGUUGCUCUGCAUGGGCACAGGGCGGGACCGUUUGGCAUUCCUUUCCGUGUUCCUUACUGCUAACCUAGCGCCGAGCCUCGCCCGAGGUUCUCGGGAGGAGACGUGGAGGAAUGAGUGGCAUCCUAGCGCCAGUGGAGACGAAGGGCCUCGGGGAGAUGUGGCCCCUGACACCUGUCCAGCUUUUAACAAUUUGCAACACCUUUGGAACGAAAGCUUCACACCACCUCUCUGCCCACGACCGUGGCUUCCAAACAUCUGUGACCUUGACCUGCAACCACUUUUUAAAACUCCUGGCCAGGACCCACUAACCUGAUUUCAUGACCCACGGCUGAACCAUCAUCUGAAGACAUUGGCUGAAAGAUGAAGCAGGAACCCCUUGGAAUGGCAUGGAAGGCUGCUUGGUGACUCAGGCCUCCUUCCACUUCCACAGCUCUGGAUGCUGUUGGUCUCUGUUUCUUUGAGUUCUUCUGUGCAUCCCACCCCGGGCCUCACUUUUGUGCUUCAGGGCGUAUCCCACACACUCUGCCUGAAUUUGUCUACCUCCCCUUCUUCACCUCCCCUGCCCACCUCAUUCUUCAAGAUCUGUCUUCUCUCUGUGAGUUGGAUGUGAGAGUCCUCUGUGCCCUAAGAGCAGCACCUUGGGGGGUGAUACUGGCAUGUGCUUAGGUGUCUACAGCUGUGUGGGGACUACCUGCCUCAAUAUUGUAUACAUUUCCAGACCUCACCAUCGGCCCUUGAAGUCAGAGUCUUUGACGAUGAGGUUGCAUGGAGUGCCUGGGCGAUGUAGUUGGUUAAGCAUCCGACUCAUGGUUUUGGCUCAGGUCAUGAUCUCGGGGUUGUGAGACUGAGCCCUGAGUCAAGCUCCACGCUCAACGUGGGAUCUGCUUAAGAUUCCCUCUGUCCCUCCCUGGCCCCUGACCUCUCACAAUAAAUAAAA